GAUGAACGCUGGCGGCGUGCCUAAUACAUGCAAGUCGAGCGAACGGACGAGAAGCUUGCUUUUCUGAUGUUAGCGGCGGACGGGUGAGUAACACGUGGAUAACCUACCUAUAAGACUGGGAUAACUUCGGGAAACCUGAGCUAAUACCGGAUAAUCUUUUGAACCGCAUGGUUCAAAAGUGAAAGACGGUCUUGCUGUCACUUAUAGAUGGAUCCGCGCUGCAUUAGCUAGAUGGUAAGGUAACGGCUUACCAAGGCAACGAUGCAUAGCCGACCUGAGAGGGUGAUCGGCCACACUGGAAGUGAGACACGGUGCAGACUCCUACGGGAGGCAGCAGUCGGGAAUCUUCCGCAAUGGGCGAGAGCCUGACGGAGCAACGCCGCGUGAGUGAUGAAGGUCUUCGGAUCGUAAAACUCUGUUAUUAGGGAAGAACAUAUGUGUAAGUAACUGUGCACAUCUUGACGGUACCUAAUCAGAAAGCCACGGCUAACUACGUG
rnacentral:rRNA from 1 species